rfam:Myotis lucifugus cont2.17154, whole genome shotgun sequence.
GAGACACCCUUCUGGGGCAAGACUUGCUUCAGUGGGGCUUUGGUGCUCACUGAGUCUGCCCCCUACGUGUGUACCU